UACGGAGGGUGCAAGCGUUGAUCGGAAUUAUUGGGCGUAAAGAGCGUGUAGGCGGUAUGGUAAGUCAGAUGUGAAAGCCCUGGGCUCAACCCAGGAAGUGCAUUUGAUACUGCUAUUCUUGAGUAUGGGAGAGGAGAGUGGAAUUCCCAGUGUAGAGGUGAAAUUCGUAGAUAUUGGGAGGAACACCCGUGGCGAAGGCGGCUCUCUGGACCAAUACUGACGCUGAGACGCGAAAGCGUGGGGAGCAAACAGG
rnacentral:rRNA from 1 species